GUGAUGACUAACUAGAACGCAGAAAAAUGAAGAUCUGACGACGGGCUGA
rnacentral:snoRNA from 2 species